rnacentral:rRNA from 1 species
CCCUUAGAUGUCCUGGCCCGCACGCGCGCUACACUGACAUGUUCAACAAGCCUCCUAGUUCGACAGGAUUUGGGAAAUCUUUGAACGCAUGUCGUGAUAGGGAUAGAUCAUUGCAAUUAUUGAUCUUGAACGAGGAAUUCCUAGUAAACGCGAGUCAUCAGCUCGCAUUGAUUACGUCCCUGCCCUUUGUACACACCGCCCGUCGCACCUACCGAUUGAAUGUUUCGGUGAAGAUUCCGGAUAGGACUUUUUUGAUUUAUUUCAAUUUUGUCUUAAAAGCUAUCUAAACCUCAACAUUUAGAGGAAGGUGAAGUCGUAACA